UAGGGAAUAUUGCUUAAUGGGCGCAAGCCUGAAGCAGCAACGCCGCGUGUGCGAUGAAGGCCUUCGGGUUGUAAAGCACUUUUGCUGGGGAAGAGGAAGGACGGUACCCGGCGAAUAAGCCUCGGCUAACUACGUGCCAGCAGCCGCGGUAAAACGUAGGAGGCGAGCGUUAUCCGGAUUUACUGGGUGUAAAGCGCGUGCAGGCGGACCAACAAGUUGGAUGUGAAAGCGCCCGGCUCAACUGGGCGAGGUCGUUCAAAACUGUUGGACUGGAGGAUGGUAGGGGAAGGUGGAAUUCCGGGUGUAGUGGUGAAAUGCGUAGAGAUCCGGAGGAACACCAGUGGCGAAGGCGGCCUUCUAGACCAUACCUGACGCUCAGACGCGAAAGCUAGGGGAGCAAACGG
rnacentral:rRNA from 1 species